rnacentral:rRNA from 1 species
CAAUAGCGUAUAUUAACGUUGUUGCAGUUAAAAAGCUCGUAGUUGGAUUUCUGGAGGGAGCGUCGGCCCGUAUUUACGAGUGCGUGACGUCUCUGUCCAUCCUUGCGGGAAGGCACGGCAUUGAUUUGUUGUGUCGGAUCGCAUCAUUUACUGUGAAAAAAUUAGAGUGUUCAAAGCAGGCUUUCGCUUGAAUACAUUAGCAUGGAAUAAUAAGAUAGGACUCUGGUGCUAUUUUGUUGGUUGAGCCUAAAGUAAUGAUUAAUAGGGAUAGUUGGGGGCACCUGUAUUGCGUUGUCAGAGGUGAAAUUCUUGGAUUUACGCAAGACAAACAGCUGCGAAAGCGUCUGCCAAGGAUGUUUCCAUUA